AAGCUCGUAGUUGAAUUUCGGGGUUCUACCGACGGUCGGGCUACCAAGUCUGUACUGGUGUGUAGAAUUUCUACCUUCUGGGGAACCAUCAUGUUAUUAAUUUAGCGUGGUGGGAAACCAGGACCUUUACCUUGAAAAAAUUAGAGUGUUCAAAGCAGGCUUAUGUCUGAAUACAUUAGCAUGGAAUAAUAGAAUAGGACGGUGGUCCUGUUUUGUUGGUUUCUGAAUCACCGUAAUGAUUAAUAGGGAUAGUUGGG
rnacentral:rRNA from 1 species